rnacentral:lncRNA from 1 species
UAUGGAUUACAUCAUCGAAGGAGAAACCAAUGAAAGUUUGAAAAGUCGAGCCUGGAGCGCAAGAAUUUUUCUCCGCCAGAGAAUAAGCACUAGCAUAUAGAUGAAGGGUAUUCUAGAGAUAGGUAUUCUAUUCCCUUCGUUCCUAAAUAUAAGUCUUUUUAGAGAUUUUAUUACAGACUGCAUACGGAGCAAAAUGAGUGAAUCUACACUCUAAAAUAUGUUUAUAUACAUCCAUAUGUAAUUCAUAGUGAAUUCUCUGGAAAGAUUUAGGAACAAAGGGUAUAUGAUGCAAAUUUUCCCUUUCCCCCAUGUCUUGG